ACGAACGCUGGCGGGGUGCCUAAUACAUGCAAGUCGAGCGAUGAGGUUCCUUCGGGAGCCGUCAGCGGCGGACGGGUGAGUAACGCGUUGGUAAUUUACCUCUUACAGGGGGAUAACACUUGGAAACGAGUGCUAAUACCGCAUCAGUUACAGGUUGGAAUACCUGUAAUCAAAGGAGUAAUCCGGUAAGAGAUAAGCCUGCGUUGGAUUAGCUAGUUGGUAGGGUAAUGGCCUACCAAGGCAAUGAUCCAUAGUUGGUCUGAGAGGAUGACCAGCCACAGUGGGACUGAGACACGGCCCACACUCCUACGGGAGGCAGCAGUAGGGAAUAUUGCGCAAUGGGCGAAAGCCUGACGCAGCAACCCCGCGUGGAGGAUGAA
rnacentral:rRNA from 1 species